UUGCCAGACUCCUACGGGAGGCAGCAGUGGGGGAUAUUGCACAAUGGGCGCAAGCCUGAUGCAGCGACGCCGCGUGAGCGAAGAAGUAUUUCGGUAUGUAAAGCUCUAUCAGCAGGGAAGAAAAUGACGGUACCUGACUAAGAAGCUCCGGCUAAAUACGUGCCAGCGGCCGCGGUAAUACGUAGGGGGCAAGCGUUAUCCGGAUUUACUGGGUGUAAAGGGAGCGUAGACGGCCGUGCAAGCCAGAUGUGAAAGCCCGGGGCUCAACCCCGGGACUGCAUUUGGAACUGCGUGGCUUGAGUGUCGGAGAGGCAGGCGGAAUUCCUAGUGUAGCGGUGAAAUGCGUAGAUAUUAGGAGGAACACCAGUGGCGAAGGCGGCCUGCUGGACGAUGACUGACGUUGAGGCUCGAAAGCGUGGGGAGCAAACAGGAUUAGAUACCCUUGUA
rnacentral:rRNA from 1 species